GAUGAACGCUGGCGGCGUGCCUAAUACAUGCAAGUCGAGCGAACGGACGAGGAGCGUGCUUCGCUGAUGUUAGCGGCGGACGGGUGAGUAACACGUGGAUAACCUACAGAGAAGACUAGGAUAAGGUAGGGAAACCGGAUCUAAUACAGGAUAAGAGGUUGAACGUCAUGGUUCAAAGGUGAUAGACGGUCUUGCUGUGACUUAGAGGUGGAUCCACGCUGCAUUAGCUAGUUGGUAAGGUAACGGCCUACCAAGGCAACGAUGCGUAGCCGACCUGAGAGGGUGAUCAGUCACACUGGAACUGAGACACGGUCCAGACUCCUACGGGAGGCAGCAGUAGGGAAUAUUCCGCAAUGGGCGAAAGCCUGACGCAGCCACGCCGCGUGAGUGAUGAAGGUCUUCGGAUCGUAAAACUCUGUUAUUAGGGAAGAACAUCUGUGUAAGUAACUGUGCCCAUCUUGACGGUACCUACUCAGAAAGCCCCGGCUAACUACGUG
rnacentral:rRNA from 1 species